UACGUAGGGUGCAAGCGUUGUUCGGAAUUAUUGGGCGUAAAGAGUGCGUAGGCGGUUUGUCGCGUCUGCUGUGAAAACUCGGGGCUUAACCCCGGCCCUGCAGUGGGUACGGGCAGACUAGAGUGUGGUAGGGGAGACUGGAAUUCCUGGUGUAGCGGUGAAAUGCGCAGAUAUCAGGAGGAACACCGAUGGCGAAGGCAGGUCUCUGGGCCACUACUGACGCUGAGAAGCGAAAGCAUGGGGAGCGAACAGG
rnacentral:rRNA from 1 species